rnacentral:rRNA from 1 species
CCUACGGGCGGCUGCAGUGAGGAAUAUUGGUCAAUGGGCGCGAGCCUGAACCAGCCAAGUCGCGUGAGGGAAGACGGUCCUAUGGAUUGUAAACCUCUUUGGUCGGGGAGCAAAAGACGCCACGCGUGGCUUUCCGAGAGUACCCGAAGAAAAAGCAUCGGCUAACUCCGUGCCAGCAGCCGCGGUAAUGCGGAGGAUGCGAUCGUGAUCCGGAUUUAUUGGGUGAAAAGGGUGCGCAGUCGGAGGAUCAAAUCAGCGGUAAAAUUGAGAGGCUCAACCUCUUCGAGCCGUUGAAACUGGUUUUCUUGAGUGAGCGAGAAGUAUGCGGAAUGCGUGGUGUAGCGGUGAAAUGCAUAGAUAUCACGCAGAACUCCGAUUGCGAAGGCAGCAUACCGGCGCUCAACUGACGCUCAUGCACGAAAGUGUGGGUAUCGAACAGGAUUAGAUACCCCAGUAGUC